GCCUGGGUGGCUCAGUCGGUUAAGCAUCUGACUUCAGCUCAGGUCAUGAUCUCAUGGUUCGUGGGUUCGAGCCCCGCGUCGGGCU
rnacentral:tRNA from 1 species